rnacentral:rRNA from 1 species
CAGUCGCCGCGGUAAUACAGAGGGUGCGAGCGUUAAUCGGAUUUACUGGGCGUAAAGCGUGCGUAGGCGGCUUUUUAAGUCGGAUGUGAAAUCCCUGAGCUUAACUUAGGAAUUGCAUUCGAUACUGGGAAGCUAGAGUAUGGGAGAGGAUGGUAGAAUUCCAGGUGUAGCGGUGAAAUGCGUAGAGAUCUGGAGGAAUACCGAUGGCGAAGGCAGCCAUCUGGCCUAAUACUGACGCUGAGGUACGAAAGCAUGGGGAGCAAACAGGAUUAGAUACCCGUGUAGUCCAUGUCUCUUAUAC